ensembl:lncRNA
CAGAUCCUGAGAGAUCAAGUGGUGGACGUCCAGAGAGGAGAGGUGAGUUAGAAACAUGCACAGUGUAGGUGAUGGGUGUUUUGAGUUUGAUUCAUUGCUUUGUCAUAGAUUGAAGACAUGGGACUUUGAUCAUAUUUGUCUUUUAUUUGUUUCAGGAGGUUGACAGAGACAGACAGAGGUGAGUUACAACAAGGAAAUGUUAUGUAUGGUGUCACACAUUGAAGACAGCGUUGUUGAUUGUUUGCUUUUGUGUUCAUGUCUUUUAGGAGGUGUCAGAGGAUGUGCUGUGGAAGCUCUUCUUCUUCUUCUUCUUCUUCUUCUUCUUCUUCUUCUUCUUCUUCUUCUUCUUCUUCUUCUUCUUCUUCUUCUUCUUCUUCUUCUUCUUCUUCUUCUUCUUCUUCUUCUUCUUCUUCUUCUUCUUCUUCUUCUUCUUCUUCUUCUUCUUCUUCUUCUUCUUCUUCUUCUUCUUCUUCUUCUUCUUCUUCUUCUUAAUGGAAUUUCACCUAAAUAAAAAAAAAAAAAAAAAAAAAAGAGUCCAAACUGCAUUGUCGUCAAUUUUUCUGAAAAACAAAGAGGAAAGUGUGAAGAGAGAGAAAAGUAGGAAAGAGGAAAAGAGUAAAGUGUGAGAAAAAAGCAAAGAGAGAAGAGAGGAAAAAGAAGAAAGUUUAAGGAAAGAACAAAGAGAAAAAGAACAAAGUGUGAGGAAAGAGGAUAGAGGAAAAAAGACUAAGUGUGAGAGAAAAGAGGAUAGAGGAAAAAAAGACUAAGUGUGAGAGAAAAGGGGAUAGAGGAAAAAAAGACUAAGUGUGAGAGAAAAGGGGAUAGAGGAAAAAAAGACUAAGUGUGAGAGAAAAGGGGAUAGAGGAAAAAAAGACUAAGGGAUAGAGGAAAAAAAGACUAAGUGUGAAAGGAAAAAAAGACUAAGGAAAGAGUGAGGAAAGAGGAAAAAGAACAAAGUGCUGCUUUACUCUUGUGUUUGAUUGUUUCAGAUGCUGAGAGAUCAAGCGGUGGACGUUCAUAGAGGAGAGAUCCUGAGAGAUCAAGUGGUGGACGUCCAGAGAGGAGAGAUCCUGAGAGAUCAAGUGCUGGACGUCCAGAGAGCAGAGGUGAGUUACACAUUGUCACACAUUGCUGCUUCAUUCAUGUGUUUGUUUGUUUCAUAUGCUGAGAGACC